CCUACGGGAGGCAGCAGUGAGGAAUAUUGGUCAAUGGGCGAGAGUCUGAACCAGCCAAGUAGCGUGAAGGAUGACUGCCCUAUGGGUUGUAAACUUCUUUUAUAAGGGAAUAAAAUGUUGCACGUGUGGGAUUUUGUAUGUACCAUAUGAAUAAGGAUCGGCUAACUCCGUGCCAGCAGCCGCGGUAAUACGGAGGAUCCGAGCGUUAUCCGGAUUUAUUGGGUUUAAAGGGAGCGUAGGUGGAUUGUUAAGUCAGUUGUGAAAGUUUGCGGCUCAACCGUAAAAUUGCAGUUGAAACUGGCAGUCUUGAGUACAGUAGAGGUGGGCGGAAUUCGUGGUGUAGCGGUGAAAUGCGUAGAUAUCACGAAGAACUCCGAUUGCGAAGGCAGUUCACUGGACUGCAACUGACACUGAGGCUCGAAAGUGUGGGUAUCAAACAGGAUUAGAUACCCUUGUAGUC
rnacentral:rRNA from 1 species